UACGGAGGGUGCUAGCGUUGUUGGGAAUCACUGGGCGUAAAGCGCGUGUAGGCGGCCCACUAAGUCUGAUGUGAAAGCCCGGGGCUCACCCCCGGAAGUGCAUUGGAAACUGGUGGACUCGAGUCCCGGAGAGGAGGGUGGAAUUCCUGGUGUAGCGGUGAAAUGCGUAGAUAUCAGGAGGAACACCGGUGGCGAAGGCGGCCCUCUGGACGGUGACUGACGCUGAGACGCGAAAGCGUGGGGAGCAAACAGG
rnacentral:rRNA from 1 species